rnacentral:rRNA from 1 species
ACCACCCGUUCCCAUCCCGAACACGGAAGUUAAGACCUCCUGGGGCGACGAUACUGCAAGGGAAAAUAGCACGUUGCCAGGU